rnacentral:rRNA from 1 species
GUGGGGAAUUUUGGACAAUGGGCGCAAGCCUGAUCCAGCCAUUCCGCGUGCAGGAUGAAGGCCUUCGGGUUGUAAACUGCUUUUGUACGGAACGAAAAGGUUCUCUCUAAUACAGGGGGCUGAUGACGGUACCGUAAGAAUAAGCACCGGCUAACUACGUGCCAGCAGCCGCGGUAAUACGUAGGGUGCAAGCGUUAAUCGGAAUUACUGGGCGUAAAGCGUGCGCAGGCGGUGAUGUAAGACAGAUGUGAAAUCCCCGGGCUCAACCUGGGAACUGCAUUUGUGACUGCAUUGCUGGAGUGCGGCAGAGGGGGAUGGAAUUCCGCGUGUAGCAGUGAAAUGCGUAGAUAUGCGGAGGAACACCGAUGGCGAAGGCAAUCCCCUGGGCCUGCACUGACGCUCAUGCACGAAAGCGUGGGGAGCAAACAAGAUUAGAUACCCUGGUAGUCC